GAUGAACGCUGGCGGCGUGCUUAACACAUGCAAGUCGAACGGAAAGGCCCAAGCUUUCUUGGGUACUCGAUUGGCGAACGGGGGUGUAACACGUGGGUGUUCUGCCCUUCACUUCGGGAUAAGCCUUGGAAAAUGGGGCUAAUACCGGAUAGGACCUCAUGUUCCGUGGUGUGGUGGAGAGUAUUGCGGUGUUGGUUUAGCUCGCGGCCUUUCAGGUUGUUGGUGGGGUAGUGGCCUACCUAGGCGUCGACGGGGAGCCGGCCCGCGAGGCUGGAGGGCCGCUUUAGACCUCUGCUACGGGCCAGACUCCGGAGGGAGGCAGCAGGGGGGAAUAUUGCACAAUGGGAGCACGCGUGAUGGAGGGACGCCGCGUGGGCGAUGAAGGCCUUUGGGUGGUAAACACCUUUCGCUAGGGACGAAGCGUUUUUGUGACGGUACCUGGAGAAGAAGCACCGGCUAACUACGUG
rnacentral:rRNA from 1 species